AUGCCCGACUACAAGUUUCUGGAGAAGCCCAAGCUGUGGAUGCUGUUCCCACUGUGUGGGAAACCCAUGCGCGAGCCUGUGCAGGUGUCUACCUGAGGCCACAGCUUUUGCGACACCUGCCUGCAAGAGUUCCUCAGUGAAGGAAUCUUCUAAGGACCUGAGGACCAGCUAUGCCAAGAUCUACCCAGACCCAGACUGGAGAUCCAGGUAUUAGGCUUGUCUACACGCAGCAUCCACAGUGAGGGGGGCUGCCGCUGGCGUGGGCCACUGUGUCAUCUACAGGGCCACUUGAAUACGUGGAGCUUCAGUAUAGUCCCUUGCCCGAAUCACUGCCUGGCCAUGCUGAGCCAGCGUGAACUGCCCACCCACUGGCAGUAGGAUCGCUCUAAAUGCAGCCUCAAGUGUGAUUUUUUUUGUGUGUCUGUGAAUUCAGCGGGGAGGCCUACGAGAGUCACGAGGGUGUGUGCCCCCAAGAGAAUGUGUACUAUGAGAGCAAGUGUGGGGACCGCAUGAUGAGGCGACUGUUGGCUCAGCAUGCCAUUUCUGAGUGCCCCAAAUGUGUCCAGCCUUGUGUCUACUGUACUAAGGAACUUUUUUUACGACACCAUCUAGAGCCACUAGUACCAAUACCCACGCCUGCCUGUUCCCUGCCUCAACCAAUGUGGAAUGAGCAUUGUGGCUCAGGAGGACCUGCCCACCCAUCUGAAGGAUAGCUGCAGCAUUACCUUUGUGUUCUGCCCUUUCAAAGAGUCUGGCUGCAAGCACAGUUGCCCUAAGCUGGCAAUGGGACGUCACAUGGAGGAGAGCGUAAAGCCACAUCUGGCUAUGAUGUGUGCCCUGGUGAGCCAGCAGUGGCAAGAGCUGCGGGAGCUGUGGAGAGAGCUGGGAGAGCUAUCCAUGGGCAGUGGUGGAGUGCUCAUCUGGAAGAUUGGCAGCUAUGGGCGUCGUCCACAAGACACUAAGGCCAAGACUUAACCUAGAGUGCUUCAGCCCAGCCUUCUGUACCCAUAAGUAUGGCUACAAGCUGCAGGUGUCUGCAUUCCUUAAUGGCAACUGCAGUGGUGAGGGGGCACACAACUCUCUAUCUACAUUCGUGUGUUGCCAGGCACCUUUGACAAUCUCCUUGAGUAGCCCUUUGCAUGCCUGGGUCACCUUCUCCCUCCUGGAUCAGAGUGACCCAGGUUUGGCUAAGCCACAGCAUGUCACUGAGACCUUCCACCCUUAUCCAAACCGGAAGAAUUUCCAGAAGCCUGGCACUUGGCAAGGCUCCUUGGCUGAGAGUUCUCUGGGCUUUGGCUACCCUAAAUUCAUUUCCCACCAGGACAUCUGAAAACGAAAUUACAUGCGGGACAAUGCGGUUUUCAUC
rnacentral:lncRNA from 1 species